rnacentral:rRNA from 1 species
UACGUAGGAGACGAGCGUUGUCCGGAAUUACUGGGCGUAAAGCGCGUGUAGGCGGAUAGGCAAGUCUGCUGUGAAAGCUCCUGGCUUAACCGGGAGUGGUCGGUGGAAACUGCUUAUCUGGAGGACGGUAGAGGCUGGUGGAAUUCCCGGUGUAGUGGUGAAAUGCGUAGAGAUCGGGAGGAACACCUGUGGCGAGGGCGGCCAGCUGGGCCGGACCUGACGCUGAGACGCGAAGGCGUGGGGAGCGAACGGG